UUUACAUAUCAGUCCAGUUUCAUGUAUAGAUGCCUCUAACCAUUCAGUGACCUUGGUAUCUGGUGAGAUAAGUCAGUAUUGCAGCAACACUCCCAGAAAAUAGUCUGACUCAUCUUUGGAGAUUUUUCUGGGAAAAAAAUUGGUUUAACUUUGCAUAGACUCAGGCAGAGCAUGUGGCAUUAUGGUCUACCUGUAGAGGGAGAUUUUGGCCUGUGUGUCUGGAAAGCAGGCUCAUCUGCUCACCAGGCUUCAUCUAGGGCACCCUGGAAUAGUCCUGUCAGAAUUUGUAUUCUUGCCCUGAGAACAUUUCUGUGCUUAUGCUAUGACUAAACACUGGUUUGGUCAUACGUGAAGUGCGAUUUGCUUAAUGUGACCUGCGUCUCUGAAUUUAUUUACAGAAAGUCAAAGUGAUGAUGAGGAAGAGGAAGAAAAAGGGCCAGUGUCCACCAGGAAUCUGCAGGAGUCUGUGGAGGAGGAAGCCCCCCAGGAGUCCUGGGAUGAAGAUUAUUCGACUCUCUCAAUUCCUCCUGGCACAUUUGCCUUCAAUGAGCCUUACAGGACCAACCUGCACUCAUUAGAGGAACAGCAGGUCAACUUGGCUCAUGACAUAGACAGUGAGUACUCUGUUGUGAAAGUGGUAAAGCUCCACUUUGUGUCCCAGAUAGACCCCAUAGUCUUUGUGCAUUGCUCCCCAGGCUGGGCUGAGAGUUGUCAUCACUGUGGGCUGAACCUAUCCAUCAGUGCAGAUUUCAAUCACUCCGGAUUCCAGUCUGAAGCAUGGGCAUGGGGUGGGUCAGUGAGCUUUGCUCUCUCUCUAGUCUCAGUCCAUGCCUGUGGCACCCUGGACCAACUGUCAGGACAUUGGAACCCAAGGCAGGUGUUGCAAACUCACACCAAGCUAUGCAGCACAUGCCCACGAGUUGUCUGUGAAUCUGAAUUAAACGUCUCUUGCCAGCUAACAAGUUCCUCAUGAGUUUUGUUCCCCAGGCAUGUCUGUGAGGUUCUUUCCUGUUUGUACAAACUUGGUAUAACUGUUUGUACAAACUUGGGAUAAAGGGAUAAUGGUCUACCAGAAUAGGGACGUUUCACCAUUGGUUCUGAGACACAAACCAAGGAAUCUCUAUCAUGAUUGGCCUUGAGACCUCCUGAAGUCUCUCUCUCAUGUUAUCCUGUUCUCAAGCUGAGGAGUCUGAGGUCCCCGUGCAGGGAUUAGACAGUGGACUGUUACGGGUGUAGGGCGAUGGCUAACUUUUAUCUGUCCCUAUUCGAAUUUAUUGCAGAGAUUGAAAAGGACCAAGAAGAGGAAGAAGACCAAGGCCCACUGUGCCCCAGGUAACUUUGAGCAACUGUGAACAGCUAAUUUUGUGUUGACACCUGGAGACGCCAGGUCCAGGGAAAACAGAGUGGGCUGACAAUAUCGAUACCAUCUUUUCAACAAAUCCUGAAGUAUUUCUACAAACAUCGCUGUUGGUUUUCAUUGCAAUAGAUAUUUAGGUUUCCGUUUCUUCCUCCCCUUACCAUUUACUAACUGCUGUAGGUUGACCAUACUUGUUUUUAUGAUCAGUGUACGCUGUGUGUCCUGAGGGUACUAACUCAGAGUGUCCUUUUACUCCCUCAUCAGUGUGUCACCUGGACGGUUUACUGAGCUUACUCUCUCUUUCUCCCUCCCCUUCCUUUCAUUCUUUUCUACCCUACUCUUGUCCAUCCCAGCAUAAGGCAAUAGUUUGUUACGUCAUUAGUGGAUCUAUGUGUUUUCUUUAUCAUUUACUUGUGCUACCCAUGAAAUCUAGUUGGGGCUCUGCGGUGUCUUAUUUUCCUUGACUUAUUCUUUGGUUUUUCCUCCUUUGUUAGGCUCAGCAUGGAGCUGGUGGAAGCAGAAGAGCCUGAAGUCUUCUGGUACUCACUGGAUAUAUUGUAUUCAACAUAUACAGCUUAUCUUGAGUUUUAUUACACAUGCCAGGCUUACACAUAUGCCGUUUUUUUAUAUGCAGAAGAGCAUGUUCGCUUGACUUUGGACAUGGACAGCAGGUUUUUUACUCUGACGGUGGUAGGACUCCACCUGGUCUCCCGGAUAGGGGUCAUAUUCCCACACUAAGACAACGUGUCACACGGGACUCUGCCAGUGCAGAGUAUGAACCACGCCAUGUUCUUGCUGAAAACGCUUAGCCCGAGUUUCAUAGCCUGAGGUAAUCUCCAGACGACUUCAGAAUGUAGAACAGUGAGCGGCACAACUGACCUGUCUCCUUCAGACAGCCCAUGUCACCACAAAUCACACAACUGAAAGGAGAAGAGAUGUUUUGGUUUGAAAAAGAGUAAAAAGAUAAUGUAGCUACAUUUCUUUAGUUCUUUUGAACCCAAAGUGCCUCCUCACCUUUUUGUUGUUGUCGUUGAUGGUGGGGACAUGGGCUUGUUUGUAGAGGA
rnacentral:lncRNA from 1 species